AGCAAUUCCAGCUACUAAAUACCCUGCAACAAGUAGCUUUUUGGCCUCCGCCGUUUGACUUUCGAUUUGGUAGCCCUUUUGGAAAUGUUCGUGGACUUUUUUCCUGCAGCAGAUUCCAUCAUUUUGUAUAUUAUUUGGAGUUAUUGCGCAUUGCGUUUGUAUAAGUGUUUCGGUAGCUACUGUUUUUAACGUACUCCACGGCAUGUUGCAUUGGCUCUUCGCCAUGUCGUCCCUCUUUAGAAGAUCAGGAUGUGUUUCUUCAUGCUGAAGAUGAAGAUGGCUGUGUUUUCGGUGACCGCUGUGCGUCUGUGGUGGCAAUAGCUCGCUUAGUAUCUCGUCACGUCGCUUUUCUUUUACUGCCUCUUUUCUUUCUUGCUAAGAGACACACACAAAUACUCCUAGACUUUUUCACUCCUCUUACCAUUUAUGUCCCCCUCUCCCUUUCUCUCCCAAUCCCUCUUUCUUUCUUCCUUUCUAACUUUCUCUCUCUAGCUGUCCCGCUCUCUUUCUCUCUCCCUCUCUUCCUCUUUCCUUCCUGUGUUAGGAGAGUAGGAGGGCGGUGCAGCAGUGGCAGAGGGUUUUUUGGGACAGGUGCCAAUUUCAAACAAAAGACACAACAACGCAAUGAGAUAACUACACUAUGUUCUGGAUCUACUACCCUGGUGGAUAAUAAGGCCUGUCUGGAUUUCAACGCCCUGGAUUUUGCAUCCAUAGUUGGUGUGUGAUGCAACUGUCUACCCAUGUCCGAUUUGAGGCCGGUGGUGGCUGGCCCGCUCCAGGAGUCUGAGGUGCGGGAGGUUCCUCCGCCCCUUCUGGACAUCGAGGGGGCCCUGGGGUACUCCGUUCGCUCCAUACUGGAUUCGAGAUGUCGGGCGAGGGGCCUUCAGUAUCUUGUGGGAGGGGUAUGGUCUGGAGGAAAGGUGCUGGGUUCCGGUCGAGGAAGUGUUGGACCCUUUAAUGCUGCAGGAGUUCCCCC
rnacentral:lncRNA from 1 species